rnacentral:rRNA from 1 species
AGAGUUUGAUCCUGGCUCAGAACGAACGCUGGCGGCGUGCCUAACACAUGCAAGUCGAGCGCGAAAGUUCCUUCGGGGAUGAGUAGAGCGGCGGACGGGUGAGUAAUACGUGGGUAAUCUGCCCCCGAGCUCGGGAUAACAGUGCGAAAGCGCUGCUAAUACCGGAUAAGACCACAUGACCCAGGUCGUGCGGUAAAAGGUGGCUUUGUUUUCGGAUGAGGCUAUCACUUGAGGAUGAGCCCAUGGCCUAUCAGCUUGUUGGUGAGGUAAAAGCUCACCAAGGCUAUGACGGGUAGCUGGUCUAAGAGGACGACCAGCCACACUGGGACUGAGACGCGGCCCAGACUCCUACGGGAGGCAGCAGUGGGGAAUAUUGGGCAAUGGGCGAAAGCCUGACCCAGCGACGCCGUGUGGGCGAUGAAGGCCUUCGGGUUGUAAAGCCCUGUGAGGUGGGAAGAAGGGCCUAGAGGUUAAUACCCUUUAGGUUUUGACGGUACCACCAGAGGAAGCACCGGCUAACUCCGUGCCAGCAGCCGCGGUAAUACGGAGGGUGCAAGCGUUGUUCGGAAUUACUGGGCGUAAAGGGCGCGUAGGUGGUUGUGUAAGUCAGAUGUGAAAUCCUUAGGCUUAACCUGAGAACUGCAUCUGAUACUGCAUGACUCGAGUACAGCAGAGGGAAACGGAAUUCCUGGUGUAGAGGUGAAAUUCGUAGAUAUCAGGAGGAACACCGGUGGCGAAGGCGGUUUCCUGGGCUGAUACUGACACUGAGGCGCGAAAGCGUGGGGAGCAAACAGGAUUAGAUACCCUGGUAGUC